rnacentral:lncRNA from 1 species
CACAGUUUGACAUCAAGAGGAAUGCAAACAGAUGCUUUAUUUUUAGCAUAGUUAUUCUCUCAGGUUGGUGCUAUCUUUCAUCUUGGCUCAAUGAGGUGGGCUUAAAUCUACCUUUCUUCAUGCAGACGCCUGUGUCAGUGCUUGCAGAAUCUCUGCCCUUGUUUGGAAGAAGAGUGCUUUCUGUGAGACUAGGACGUAGUGAAUUGAAGCUUAAGGCUUGUGAUGUACCUACAUCAUGGUAUUCUGCAUUUCUGCCUCUGUGGAGCCAAAAGAGCGUCAGAUUGCCACAUUGCAGUUCAGGGGCUGCUUUUUCGUGGCGUUCCCUCUGCAAGGUACUGCACAGAGUGAAUGUAUGUGGCAGAGGACCAGACUUGAUAUCCCAUGGACAUUUAUGCAUGAAGAUGAACUAUCUCCCAAGUGAUCUGAAAUCUUCACUGGAGCUAAGCUGUCGGCUAAAUGUUAUACCUCUGCACUUUUCGUUUCAGUGUACAGAAAUGGAAUUGGUUGGUUACCUUCAAAGGGAUCCCUGAAUGUGGUAAGUUUGCAGGUACAGAAGCUUCAUACCUAGCUGAAAAUAAUGUCAGUGUGUAGAAAAAGAAAUGUUAGAUGACCUGCUUAGUUAAUUGAGCUUAACAUCAAAGCUACCUAUCAAAAUCUUUGAUAUCAAACCAAAGCAUCUUUCCUACAAUUUCUCAUGUGAGAGUCUGAACUUACCCAACCCCCAACCUGGAAGCUAGUGAAGUUGUGUGAAUUCACCCUACUUAAAAUACCAGAACAACAGUUUGCCUUCAAAAUGUUUAUCAUCCUGCAGGAGAUGGUCAUUAUUAUGUAUUGAUUUUUUCAAUGGCUUCAAUAGAAACCAAAGAUGUCCUAAGUCUGCUCUUCUUUUAUUCAGAUGGUUUUCAUAGCUAAAGUGAAGCAUAAAAGAUAGAUCUUUUACGUGACCCUCAGUGAAACUUUAUUACUUACUUACUUUGUUGAAUCAUUGAUCUGACUUGAAGUUACUUGAGGCUUGAUAUAGAACUAUGAACUGAAAAUAAUUCGACUGAAGGCACUGAAACUAGUAUAUAAUGGAUGUAGAAAACUAAUGAAGUCCAUAAAACAAGAAUGGAUUGAUACCUUAAAAGACAUCAUUAUGAGGCUGAACAAAUUUGAAUGGAAAAGAAUUUGGCUGAAGUGUUUCUCUAAGACUCUUGGGUGCUGAGAGACAACAAGAGACUGAGAAAGAAA